AGCGAACGCUGGCGGCAGGCUUAACACAUGCAAGUCGAGCGGGCCCUUCGGGGUCAGCGGCGGACGGGUGAGUAACGCGUGGGAACGUGCCUUCUGGUUCGGAAUAACUCAGGGAAACUUGAGCUAAUACCGGAUACGCCCUUUUGGGGAAAGGUUUACUGCCGGAAGAUCGGCCCGCGUCUGAUUAGCUAGUUGGUGGGGUAACGGCCUACCAAGGCGACGAUCAGUAGCUGGUCUGAGAGGAUGAUCAGCCACACUGGGACUGAGACACGGCCCACACCCGUAGGGGGGGCGGCGGGGGGGAUUAUUGAAGAAGGAGGGAAGGCCUGACCCCCCCGUGCGGGGGGAGUGGUGAGGCCUUUGGGUUUGAAAGCUUUUUUUUCCCGGACCGAUAAGGCGGAUACGGGAGAAAAAAGCCCCGGCUAAUUCCGUG
rnacentral:rRNA from 1 species